rnacentral:rRNA from 1 species
UACCAGCACCCCGAGUGGUCGGGACGAUUAUUGGGCCUAAAGCAUCCGUAGCCGGUCCUACAAGUCUUCCGUUAAAUCCACCUGCUUAACAGAUGGGUUGCGGAAGAUACUAUAGGGCUAGGAGGCGGGAGAGGCAAGCGGUACUCAGUGGGUAGGGGUAAAAUCCUCUGAUCCAUUGAAGACCACCAGUGGCGAAGGCGGCUUGCCAGAACGCGCUCGACGGUGAGGGAUGAAAGCUGGGGGAGCAAACCGG